GGCCACUGUAGAUUUUGGGCUUCAACGGAAUGAAUUGCAAAUUUUUUGACUGCCUGCCUAUUGCAGAUGGGAUAAUUUCUUUGUAGAUUUGCAAUCUUAUGUCAUAUAUGUUCUCAACAAAAUGUGUUUUCUUUUUCCAGGUUGUGUAGUUUGGUAUCAGAAUUAUUAGACGUAUUGCUUGUAGGACAUUGACGGCAGGAACUUGAAAUUAACUGUGGAGUGCUACCUUAAGGUUGUGUAGUUUGGUAUCAGAAUUAUUAGACGUAUUGCUUGUAGGACAUUGACAGCAGGAACUUGAAAUUAACUGUGGAGUGCUACCUUAAGGUUGUGUAGUUUGGUAUCAGAAUUAUUAGACGUAUUGCUUGUAGGACAUUGACGGCAGGAACUUGAAAUUAACUGUGGAGUGCUACCUUAAGGUUGUGUAGUUUGGUAUCAGAAUUAUUAGACGUAUUGCUUGUAGGACAUUGACGGCAGGAACUUGAAAUUAACUGUGGAGUGCUACCUUAAGCUGUACAUGUAGAAUAUGGCCAUCGGGCGUGUUCCAUGUGAUGCGAAAUAUUUGUGCGAAGGGAUAUGUUUGCUUGAAAUCAUUUACAGGUGCAAAUGGAUGUUAAAGCUAGGUUUUCGGGUUGUGUAGUUUGGUAUCAGAAUUAUUAGACGUAUUGCUUGUAGGACAUUGACGGCAGGAACUUGAAAUUAACUGUGGAGUGCUACCUUAAGGUUGUGUAGUUUGGUAUCAGAAUUAUUAGACGUAUUGCUUGUAGGACAUUGACGGCAGGAACUUGAAAUUAACUGUGGAGUGCUACCUUA